rnacentral:lncRNA from 1 species
UCCAGAAUGCGCUCCAGGGGGACGUUGCUUUGCACCAUCUCAAUAAUCUCGGCUGACAUCAUCAGUGUGGUGGGUGUAUACACACGUUGGUGCAUGCCAAUCAAUGGAGUGUGCUGCCGUAAGGAUUGGACGGGCUCUGGGGCAUCAGAGGACUCCAGAUAAGGGACCACUCACACACCUACAUGAAGUAGGUAGGUAGGUAGGUAGGUAGGUAGGUAGGUAGGUAGGUAGGUAGGGGCAGCAGCAGCGGCAGGGGGCAGGAACCUUCUGCACCACUGGUAGCAAGCAGUAGCAGUUGUGGCGGCUGUGGCUGUGGCUGUCUGUCUGUAUGGUAGGUAGGCUAUUAUGUAAAAGUAUUUAGGUAAGUAGCUAUUGUAGCAGUCGCUCACCUGAUGGGUCGACUGGCUAUGCGGAAGCGUAGAGUUGACAGUCCUCGCCGAGGCAGGAAGAAGUCCAACCCAGCGGCACGCGUACGAAAACAAUCUAGGCGGCGGCAGCGGAGUCUUGAACUUCGAACACCUUGUAGUCGUG